rnacentral:rRNA from 1 species
AUUGAACGCUGGCGGCAGGCCUAACACAUGCAAGUCGAGCGGCAGCGGAAAGUAGCUUGCUACUUUGCCGGCGAGCGGCGGACGGGUGAGUAAUGUCUGGGAAACUGCCUGAUGGAGGGGGAUAACUACUGGAAACGGUAGCUAAUACCGCAUGACCUCGAAAGAGCAAAGUGGGGGAUCUUCGGACCUCACGCCAUCGGAUGUGCCCAGAUGGGAUUAGCUAGUAGGUGAGGUAAUGGCUCACCUAGGCGACGAUCCCUAGCUGGUCUGAGAGGAUGACCAGCCACACUGGAACUGAGACACGGUCCAGACUCCUACGGGAGGCAGCAGUGGGGAAUAUUGCACAAUGGGCGCAAGCCUGAUGCAGCCAUGUCGCGUGUGUGAAGAAGGCCUUAGGGUUGUAAAGCACUUUCAGCGAGGAGGAAGGCAUCAUACUUAAUACGUGUGGUGAUUGACGUUACUCGCAGAAGAAGCACCGGCUAACUCCGUGCCAGCAGCCGCGGUAAUACGGAGGGUGCAAGCGUUAAUCGGAAUUACUGGGCGUAAAGCGCACGCAGGCGGUUUGUUAAGUCAGAUGUGAAAUCCCCGCGCUUAACGUGGGAACUGCAUUUGAAACUGGCAAGCUAGAGUCUUGUAGAGGGGGGUAGAAUUCCAGGUGUAGCGGUGAAAUGCGUAGAGAUCUGGAGGAAUACCGGUGGCGAAGGCGGCCCCCUGGACAAAGACUGACGCUCAGUGCGAAAGCGUGGGGAGCAAACAGG